UUGCCAUCAUUCAGUUGGGCACUCUAGCGAGACUGCCGGUAAUAAACCGGAGGAAGGUGGGGAUGACGUCAAAUCAUCAUGCCCCUUAUGACCUGGGCUACACACGUGCUACAAUGGUUGGUACAACGAGUUGCGAGUCGGUGACGGCGAGCUAAUCUCUUAAAGCCAAUCUCAGUUCGGAUUGUAGGCUGCAACUCGCCUACAUGAAGUCGGAAUCGCUAGUAAUCGCGGAUCAGCACGCCCGCGGUCGAAUACGUUCCCGGGCCUU
rnacentral:rRNA from 1 species